UAGGGAAUCUUCGGCAAUGGACGAAAGUCUGACCGAGCAACGCCGCGUGAGUGAAGAAGGUUUUCGGAUCGUAAAACUCUGUUGUUAGCGAAGAACAAGGACGUUAGUAACUGAACGUCCCCUGACGGUAUCUAACCAGAAAGCCACGGCUAACUACGUGCCAGCAGCCGCGGUAAUACGUAUGUGGCAAGCGUUGUCCGGAUUUAUUGGGCGUAAAGCGAGCGCAGGCGGUUUCUUAAGUCUGAUGUGAAAGCCCCCGGCUCAACCGGGGAGGGUAAUUGGAAACUGGGAGACUUGAGUGCAGAAGAGGAGAGUGGAAUUCCAUGUGUAGCGGUGAAAUGCGUAGAUAUAUGGAGGAACACCAGUGGCGAAGGCGGCUCUCUGGUCUGUAACUGACGCUGAGGCUCGAAAGCGUGGGGAGCAAACAGG
rnacentral:rRNA from 1 species